rnacentral:rRNA from 1 species
UAGCUAGUUGGUAAGGUAACGGCUUACCAAGGCAAUGAUGCAUAGCCGAGUUGAGAGACUGAUCGGCCACAUUGGGACUGAGACACGGCCCAAACUCCUACGGGAGGCAGCAGUAGGGAAUCUUCCACAAUGGACGAAAGUCUGAUGGAGCAACGCCGCGUGAGUGAAGAAGGGUUUCGGCUCGUAAAGCUCUGUUGGUAGUGAAGAAAGAUAGAGGUAGUAACUGGCCUUUAUUUGACGGUAAUUACUUAGAAAGUCGCGGCUAACUACGUGCCAGCAGCCGCGGUAAUACGUAGGUGGCAAGCGUUGUCCGGAUUUAUUGGGCGUAAAGCGAGUGCAGGCGGUUCAAUAAGUCUGAUGUGAAAGCCUUCGGCUCAACCGGAGAAUUGCAUCAGAAACUGUUGAACUUGAGUGCAGAAGAGGAGAGUGGAACUCCAUGUGUAGCGGUGGAAUGCGUAGAUAUAUGGAAGAACACCAGUGGCGAAGGCGGCUCUCUGGUCUGCAACUGACGCUGAGGCUCGAAAGCAUGGGUAGCGAACAGGAUUAGAUACCCUGGUAGUCCAUGCCGUAAACGAUGAGUGCUAAGUGUUGGGAGGUUUCCGCCUCUCAGUGCUGCAGCUAACGC